rnacentral:sRNA from 1 species
UCUUUGGGGCACCUGGGCCCAGACCCUCUCCAGAUGAAAUCCUUCCCUUGAGUGUGGCGUGCUGAGAUCUCCACCUGGAGGCAUCCCCAGCUGGCGGAGAUUGUGAAGCGUCUGAGCGGUAUCUGCGCUCAGAUUAUCCCCUUCCUGACCCAGGAGCAUCAGCAGCAGGUGCUCCAGGCCGUAGAACGCGCCAAGCAGGUCACCGUGGGGGAGCUGAACAGCCUCAUCGGGCAGCAGCAGCUCCAGCCGCUGUCCCACCACGCACCCCCUGUGCCCCUCACCCCCCGCCCAGCCGGGCUGGUGGGCGGCAGUGCUACGGGGCUGCUUGCUCUGUCUGGAGCCCUGGCUGCCCAGGCUCAGCUGGCCGCGGCUGUCAAGGAGGACCGUGCGGGCGUGGAGGCCGAGGGGUCCAGAGUGGAGAGAGCCCCGAGCAGGAGUGCAUCUCCCUCGCCCCCUGAGAGUCUCGUGGAGGAGGAGCGACCGAGUGGCCCUGGUGGUGGCGGGAAGCAGAGAGCAGAUGAGAAGGAGCCGUCAGGACCUUAUGAAAGCGACGAAG